rnacentral:rRNA from 1 species
ACGACUGCAAAGACUGGAUAGGAGACAAGGAGGCAUCUUCUUGUUUUUAAAAGACCUAGCAAUAGGUAUGCUUAGGGAGGAGCUUGCGUCACAUUAGUUAGUUGGUGGGGUAAAGGCCUACCAAGACUAUGAUGUGUAGCCGGGCUGAGAGGUUGAACGGCCACAUUGGGACUGAGACACGGCCCAAACUCCUACGGGAGGCAGCAGUAGGGAAUUUUCGGCAAUGGAGGAAACUCUGACCGAGCAACGCCGCGUGAACGAUGAAGUAUUCCGGUACGUAAAGUUCUUUUAUUAGGGAAGAAUAAAUGAUGGAAAAAUCAUUCUGACGGUACCUAGCGAAUAAGCCCCGGCUAACUAUGUGCCAGCAGCCGCGGUAAUACAUAGGGGGCAAGCGUUAUCCGGAAUUAUUGGGCGUAAAGGGUGCGUAGGCGGUUAAAUAAGUUUAUGGUCUAAGUGCAAUGCUCAACAUUGUGAUGCUAUAAAAACUGUUUAGCUAGAGUAAGAUAGAGGCAAGUGGAAUUCCAUGUGUAGUGGUAAAAUGCGUAAAUAUAUGGAGGAACACCAGUAGCGAAGGCGGCUUGCUGGGUCUUUACUGACGCUGAGGCACGAAAGCGUGGGGAGCAAACAGGAUUAGAUACCCUGGUAGUCCACGCUGUAAACGAUGAGUACUAAACGUUGGGUAAAACCAGUGUUGAAGUUAACACAUUAAGUACUCCGCCUGAGUAGUACGUGCGCAAGUAUGAAACUUAAAGGAAUUGACGGGACUCCGCACAAGCGGUGGAUCAUGUUGUUUAAUUCGAAGGUACCCGAAAAACCUCACCAGGUCUUGACAUGCUUCUGCAAAGCUGUAGAAACACAGUGGAGGUUAUCAGUUGCACAGGUGGUGCAUGGUUGUCGUCAGCUCGUGUCGUGAGAUGUUGGGUUAAGUCCCGCAACGAGCGCAACCCUUAUUGUUAGUUACCAGCACGUAAUGGUGGGGACUUUAGCAAGACUGCCAGUGAUAAAUUGGAGGAAGGUGGGGACGACGUCAAAUCAUCAUGCCCCUUAUGACCUGGGCUACAAACGUGAUACAAUGGCUGUUACAAAGGGUAGCUGAAGCGCAAGUUUUUGGCGAAUCUCAAAAAAACAGUCUCAGUUCGGAUUGAAGUCUGCAACUCGACUUCAUGAAGUUGGAAUCGCUAGUAAUCGCGAAUCAGCAUGUCGCGGUGAAUACGUUCUCGGGGUUUGUACACACCGCCCGUCA